rnacentral:rRNA from 1 species
AACGAACGCUGGCGGCAUGCCUAACACAUGCGAGUCGAACGAGACCUUCGGGUCUAGUGGCGCACGGGUGCGUAACGCGUGGGAAUCUGCCCUUCGGUUGGGAAUAACUGAGAGAAAUUUCAGCUAAUACCUUAUAAUGUCUUCGGACCAAAGAUUUAUCGCCGAGGGAUGAGCCCGCGUAGGAUUAGGUAGUUGGUGGGGUAAUGGCCUACCAAGCCGACGAUCCUUAGCUGGUCUGAGAGGAUGAUCAGCCACACUGGGACUGAGACACGGCCCAGACUCCUACGGGAGGCAGCAGUGGGGAAUAUUGGACAAUGGGCGAAAGCCUGAUCCAGCAAUGCCGCGUGAGUGAUGAAGGCCUUAGGGUUGUAAAGCUCUUUUACCCGGGAUGAUAAUGACAGUACCGGGAGAAUAAGCUCCGGCUAACUCCGUG